rnacentral:rRNA from 1 species
CCCGCUCAGAAACUACAAAGGAAUUGACGGGGCCCGCACAAGCGGUGGAGCAUGUGGUUUAAUUCGAUGAUACGCGAGGAACCUUACCUGGGCUCGAACGUAAGAUGACUGUAGGUGAAAGCUUACAUCUCUUCGGAGCAUUUUACGAGGUGCUGCAUGGUUGUCGUCAGCUCGUGCCGUGAGGUGUCGGGUUAAGUCCCAUAACGAGCGCAACCCUACCUUUAGUUGCCAUCAGGUAAUGCUGGGGACUCUAAAGGAACUGCCUACGCAAGUAGUGAGGAAGGCGGGGAUGACGUCAAAUCAGCACGGCCCUUACGUCCAGGGCUACACACGUGCUACAAUGGCCGAUACAGAGGGCAGCUACCUGGUGACAGGAUGCAAAUCUCCAAAGUCGGUCUCAGUUCGGAUCGGAGUCUGCAACCCGACUCCGUGAAGUUGGAUUCGCUAGUAAUCGCGCAUCAGCCAUGGCGCGGUGAAUACGUUCCCGGGCCUU